rnacentral:rRNA from 1 species
CAGUAGCGUAUAUUAAAGUUGUUGCAGUUAAAAAGCUCGUAGUUGGAUUUCUGUAUUAAUUGCAUUUGGCCCGUAUCUUCGUGAUAUGUGUGCGCCGAAUUGCUUAAUACAUCUAUCUAAGAAAAUUUUAUUUAUAAAAUUAUUUUAGAUCUUUUACUUUGAAAAAUUAGAGUGUUCAAAGCAGGCGUUUUUUGCUGUGAAUAUAUUAGCAUGGAAUAAUAAUUUAGGACUUUUGUUUCUAUUUUGUUGGUCUAGGACAAAAGUAAUGAUUGAUAGGGACAUUGGGGGUGGCUCGUAUUCAAUGGCCAGUGGUGAAAUACGUUGAUUCAUUGAAGACGAACUUAUGCGAAAGCAUUCACCAAGGAUGUUUUUCAUUG